GGGCGAAUGGUUUAGUGGUAUAAUACUCCCUUAGCAUGUUUCGGGAUUCCCGAUAAUGGCUUGGGAGUGGUCCGGGGUUCGAUUCCCCGUUUGUCCA